GAUGAAUGAAUAACAUUCCAUUGUAUGGAUUAUACCACAUUUUGUUCAUUCACCAGCUGAUGGACGUUUGAGUUUCCACUUUUUUUGGCUCUUGUGAAUAAUGCCGCUGUAAACAUUUCUAUCCAAGUUUGUGUGUGGCUGUAGGUUUUCUGUUCUUUGGAGGAUAUAUCAGGCACUAUGGUGAUUCUGUGUUUAACUUUUUUUUUUUUUUUUUUUUUUUUUGUCUUGUCUUUUUGCUAUUUCUUUGGGCCGCUCCCGCGGCACAUGGAGGUUCCCAGGCUAGGGGUCUAAUCGGAGCUGUAGCCACCGGCCUACACCAGAGCCACAGCAACAGAGGAUCGGAGCCGCAACUGCAACCUACACCACAGCUCACGGCAACGCCAGAUCGUUAACCCACUGAGCAAGCACAGGGACCGAACCCGCAACCUCAUGGUUCCUAGUCGGAUUCGUUAACCACUGCGCCAUGACGGGAACUCCUCUAUAUCUUCAACAAUGCUUUUUGUGGUCUGUGUUUGAUUAUUGCCAUUCUCCUAGUAUCUUUUGAAUAUAUGUACUUAGGUUUCUAUUAUCAGAUUAUGGAGUAGGCUCUGGAAUAUGAUAGGAAUAGAGGUCUUGGUGGGGUAAAGGCAUCAGAGAAGAGUUAGAGUCGGGGUCAUUACACGUGGAACGGGACAGUUGACUUAGAAAGGUGAUGAAGUUGAUGACUUCCAUACUUUGCUCUUCCGAUGUGGAUUCUCUAAUAAAUAAACAUUUUCUCCUUAUCCCCACAGUGGGAGGAAUGGUAAUUGAGGAGUGGCUUAGUCUGCUGUUUCAGUAUGGAGUGAGCAUAACACAAUACCUUGUGCCUACAAACUUGGGCUUUAGAAAUUCAAUGCCCUGUGCCUAUUUCUGCAAAGUGUGCAAAAUAGUAACAGAUACCAUUUCUUGUGCACUUAUUACGUACUAAGCACUGUGUUGACUACUCUGGAGUCAUGGAGUCAUGUGGUCAUCAGACGGGUAUCAUCUAUCAUCAUCUCAUUUGGUAACAAGUGAGGGAGAUCCACUCAACUUGAUCCCCAUAACAAUGCAUCAGUGUCAGGUAAAUUAGACCCCAGUUUUAACUUCUGGGAUGGACACUGGCUCUGGUUCUUCAGCUUGAAUGAAUAAGACUGUAGUUACAAUACUUAAGGAACCCUACUACCCCCCUGCUCCCCAACAGAUAAAAAAUAAAAGUGACCCUGCAAAGCUAACCUGGGCUGAA
rnacentral:lncRNA from 1 species